rnacentral:rRNA from 1 species
CCUACGGGGGGCUGCAGUGGGGAAUAUUGGACAAUGGGCGAAAGCCUGAUCCAGCCAUGCCGCGUGUGUGAAGAAGGCCUUCGGGUUGUAAAGCACUUUCAGUGGGGAAGAAAGCCUUGGGGCUAAUACCCUCGAGGAAGGACAUCACCCACAGAAGAAGCACCGGCUAACUCCGUGCCAGCAGCCGCGGUAAUACGGAGGGUGCGAGCGUUAAUCGGAAUUACUGGGCGUAAAGCGCGCGUAGGCGGUCUGAUAAGCCGGUUGUGAAAGCCCCGGGCUCAACCUGGGAACGGCAUCCGGAACUGUCAGGCUAGAGUGCAGGAGAGGAAGGUAGAAUUCCCGGUGUAGCGGUGAAAUGCGUAGAGAUCGGGAGGAAUACCAGUGGGGAAGGCGGCCUUCUGGACUGACACUGACGCUGAGGUGCGAAAGCGUGGGUAGCAAACAGGAUUAGAUACCCGAGUAGU